GGCAAGGGAUGGCAAUGACCUUGGAGGACUGAAAAUCCUUGUGUCGCCAGUUCAAUUCUGGCUCUGGCCA
rnacentral:tRNA from 1 species